rnacentral:lncRNA from 1 species
CCCGAAUAGCUGGGACUACAGGCGCCCACCACCACGCCCGGCUAAUUUUUUGUAUUUUUAGUAGAGACGGGGUUUCACCGUGUUAGCCAGGAUGGUCUCCAUCUCCUGACCUCGUGAUCUGCCCGCCUCGGCCUCCCAAAGUGCUGGGAUUACAGGCAUGAGCCACUGCGCCCGGCCGUACUUCCUUUUUUAAACUAGACUUUUGCUAACCCAAAUGAUUCUUUUUUUUUCUUUUUUGAGAUGGAGUCUCACUCUGUUGCCCAGGCUGAAGUGCAGUGGAAUGAUCUCGGCUCACUGCAACCUCUGCCUCCCAGGUUCAAGCGAUUCUCCUGCUUCAGCCUCCUGAGUAGCUGGGAUUACAGGUUUAUUUGCAAGAUGGGUUUGAGGGAAUUAAGGAUAAAGUCUGCUGAAAGUAGCACCAGCCUCUGGAUUAAAAGGGAUGUUUGGAUGAAGCUUCAAUCUCAAGAAGAGGCAAGAGAAAACUAAAGAAAAAGCUGCUUGGUGCUGCGGUGUGCCCUAUCCUGGCUGCAUUUCUUCAUUCCCUCCCCUGCCCACAUACAUCCACAGCCCCAGUCGGCUGUAUCCAUGAAGAGCUGAAUGGAACAGGAUGACUGGCAGCCCACGCCAAAGGCCAAGAGAUGUGAAGGUAGAAGCAAGAAGUUAGAAUGACCUGAGGAAGAGGUCACAAGCCCAGGAAUGCCAGCAGCCACUAAAAGCUGAAAAAAGGCAAGGAAAUGAGUUUUCCUCUGAAGCUGCCAGAAGGAACAAGCCCAGCCAAUGCCUUGACCCUAGCCCAGUAAAAUUGAUUUUGAACUUCCGACUUCCAGAACUGUGAGAGAAUACAUUUACGUUGUUUUAAGCCACAAAUAUGUGGCAAUUUGUUACAGCAGCAAUGGGAAACUAACACAGAUUCUAAUCUCUUUUCUUACUCCCAUCCCAGGUUGCCCUGGGGUUAAUUCAUGAUUAAAGAUCCUCCAGCUUUGUUCUCUAUACUUUCUCUUGUCUUCUUGAGUCUGAUCUCCUUCUUGCUCUCCAAGUGCUUCCCCCACUGCACAUCAACAAGAACAUUUCUGCUUCUUACCUGUCUCUGUCCCCUGCUCUAACCCAUGAGGAGUCAGAAGCAGUCUAGUGGGGGCCAGGCAGGGGAGGGAGGUGAGGAAGCUAGGAAGGUUAGAGAAGAGAGAAGAAGCCAACAUUCCCCACUUUAAGCUUUUGGGGUUGGGAGUCAGAAGAAGCUUUAUCUUAAAACAAGGUUUAGAGGUUUGAUUUUACCUUGGGCUGGAUAUUUUUAAGACUGCAGUGAGAAUGUUUUGGGGACUUAAGGCGAAUGAAAACGUUUUGAUUUUUUGGGAGGAACUAGAACAUUCAUGCUACUUGUUAUGGAUUUAGUCCAAGGCACAGAGAAGGACUAGCCCCAUAGUGCAGGUUUGAG